GACAGAGGGUGCAAACGUUGUUCGGAAUUACUGGGCGUAAAGCGCGUGUAGGCUGCUUCGCAAGUCAGAUGUGAAAGCCCCGGGCUCAACCUGGGAAUUGCAUUUGAGACUGCUCUGCUCGGGUGCGGAAGAGGGAAGCGGAAUUUCCGGUGUAGCGGUGAAAUGCGUAGAUAUCGGAAGGAACACCAGUGGCGAAAGCGGCUUCCUGGUCCGACACCGACGUUCAGGCACGAAAGCGUGGGGAGCAAACAGG
rnacentral:rRNA from 1 species